GGCCAGCAGCUGGGUGGCCGUGGGGGUGUGGGGAGCCCAGGGGGCAGGGGUGCAGGGGUGAUCUGUGGGACAGGGAGGUGCCGACGGAGCCUCCCAGCACAGCACCGCCUCCGGGCGAUGUAGGAAGGACGCUGGUGGGGAAGACGGGUCUGAGGUGUUUGAAGGACACCAGGUGGACGGUUACUAUAAAGGUCUGAAGCCCACGACAGGGCGCUGAGAUCGUUUAGGAGCGGAUCCCGGGAAAUGAGAGCAAAAGGACUGAACCUCAGGAACCUGGACGGUUGUGAUGCUGGCUAACGGAGAAGAUCCUGGGAAGGAAACCUGAAAGCGAAGAGCAGGGGCACAUGGACACUUUCUGCCCUCUGGAGGGAGGAAGGGUGCUGGUGGAAGAUAUCUGAAAGAAGUAACUGCACUUGGAAAUUGACCUAUGCACAGCACAGAAGCUGAAGGAGAAGAGGGACACCAAGCAGAGAAAUGUGGAGUUAAAAUUUCUGCUAAAUGUGCCACAAAGUGCUGCCUUGUCUCCCUCCCAUUCUUCUCAGUCCUUAUUAUAUAAUUCAAGGUCAUGAAUAUUCCAUUUGAAGGGUUCCUGAUCUGACCCAAAGACCUGCAUGAGCCCUGGAACAAGCAUUUUUCUCUUUCCUCAGUCCCAGAGGCUGGUUCUGGGACAGACUUCAGGCUCCCAAGAGGAUGUUACUGCCAAGUAAUUGCUCUGAAACUAGUUUCUAUAGUUGUUCUCGUGGAUUCCAUGCACAAUUUCCCUUCUUGUAGUUCCAUAAAUAAUAAAAAGCCAAUGUUACUGUCUGUUUUCUCUUAA
rnacentral:lncRNA from 1 species